rnacentral:rRNA from 1 species
UUGAACGCUGGCGGUAUGCUUAACACAUGCAAGUCGAACGGAAACGAUACUAGCUUGCUAGUAGGCGUCGAGUGGCGGACGGGUGAGUAACGCGUAGGAAUCUGCCUGAUAGUGGGGGAUAGCCCGAAGAAAUUCGGAUUAAUACCGCAUAAUCUAUUCGUAGUAAAGUGGGGGACUUUCGAGCCUCACGCUAUCAGAUGAGCCUGCGUAAGAUUAGCUUGUUGGUAGGGUAAAAGCCUACCAAGGCGACGAUCUUUAGCUGGUCUGAGAGGAUGAUCAGCCACAUCGGGACUGAGACACGGCCCGAACUCCUACGGGAGGCAGCAGUGGGGAAUAUUGGACAAUGGGGGCAACCCUGAUCCAGCAAUACCGCGUGUGUGAAGAAGGCCUGAGGGUUGUAAAGCACUUUCAAUUGUGAAGAAAAGUUAGCGGUUAAUAACCGUUAGCCUUGACGUUAACUUUAGAAGAAGCACCGGCUAACUCCGUGCCAGCAGCCGCGGUAAUACGGAGGGUGCAAGCGUUAAUCGGAAUUACUGGGCGUAAAGCGUGCGUAGGCGGUUUAUUAAGUCAGAUGUGAAAGCCCCGGGCUUAACCUGGGAACUGCAUUUGAAACUGGUCAACUAGAGUAUGGUAGAGGAAAGUGGAAUUUCUGGUGUAGCGGUGAAAUGCGUAGAUAUCAGAAGGAACAUCAAUGGCGAAGGCAGCUUUCUGGACCAAUACUGACGCUGAGGUACGAAAGCGUGGGUAGCAAACAGGAUUAGAUACCCUGGUAGUCCACGCCGUAAACGAUGAUAACUAGCCGUUGGGGGGAUUUACCCUUUAGUGGCGAAGCUAACGCGUUAAGUUAUCCGCCUGGGGAGUACGGCCGCAAGGUUAAAACUCAAAGGAAUUGACGGGGACCCGCACAAGCGGUGGAGCAUGUGGUUUAAUUCGAUGCAACGCGAAGAACCUUACCUGGUCUUGACAUCCUGCGAACUUUCUAGAAAUAGAUUGGUGCCUUCGGGAACGCAGUGACAGGUGCUGCAUGGCUGUCGUCAGCUCGUGUCGUGAGAUGUUGGGUUAAGUCCCGUAACGAGCGCAACCCCUAUCCUUAUUUGCCAGCACAUCAUGGUGGGAACUAUAAGGAGACUGCCGGUGAUAAACCGGAGGAAGGCGGGGACGACGUCAAGUCAUCAUGGCCCUUACGACCAGGGCUACACACGUGCUACAAUGGGAAGGACAAAGAGCCGCGAAGCCGCGAGGUGUAGCUAAUCUCAUAAACCUUUUCGUAGUCCGGAUUGGAGUCUGCAACUCGACUCCAUGAAGUCGGAAUCGCUAGUAAUCGUAGAUCAGAAUGCUACGGUGAAUACGUUCCCGGGUCUUGCACACACCGCCCGUCAAGGGCGA